rnacentral:rRNA from 1 species
AGCGGUAGAGAGAAGCUUGCUUCUCUUGAGAGCGGCGGACGGGUGAGUAAUGCCUAGGAAUCUGCCUGGUAGUGGGGGAUAACGUUCGGAAACGGACGCUAAUACCGCAUACGUCCUACGGGAGAAAGCAGGGGACCUUCGGGCCUUGCGCUAUCAGAUGAGCCUAGGUCGGAUUAGCUAGUUGGUGAGGUAAUGGCUCACCAAGGCGACGAUCCGUAACUGGUCUGAGAGGAUGAUCAGUCACACUGGAACUGAGACACGGUCCAGACUCCUACGGGAGGCAGCAGUGGGGAAUAUUGGACAAUGGGCGAAAGCCUGAUCCAGCCAUGCCGCGUGUGUGAAGAAGGUCUUCGGAUUGUAAAGCACUUUAAGUUGGGAGGAAGGGUUGUAGAUUAAUACUCUGCAAUUUUGACGUUACCGACAGAAUAAGCACCGGCUAACUCUGUGCCAGCAGCCGCGGUAAUACAGAGGGUGCAAGCGUUAAUCGGAAUUACUGGGCGUAAAGCGCGCGUAGGUGGUUCGUUAAGUUGGAUGUGAAAGCCCCGGGCUCAACCUGGGAACUGCAUUCAAAACUGACGAGCUAGAGUAUGGUAGAGGGUGGUGGAAUUUCCUGUGUAGCGGUGAAAUGCGUAGAUAUAGGAAGGAACACCAGUGGCGAAGGCGACCACCUGGACUGAUACUGACACUGAGGUGCGAAAGCGUGGGGAGCAAACAGGAUUAGAUACCCUGGUAGUCCACGCCGUAAACGAUGUCAACUAGCCGUUGGAAUCCUUGAGAUUUUAGUGGCGCAGCUAACGCAUUAAGUUGACCGCCUGGGGAGUACGGCCGCAAGGUUAAAACUCAAAUGAAUUGACGGGGGCCCGCACAAGCGGUGGAGCAUGUGGUUUAAUUCGAAGCAACGCGAAGAACCUUACCAGGCCUUGACAUCCAAUGAACUUUCCAGA